rnacentral:lncRNA from 13 species
CUGAGGUUUAUGCACAUUUGUUUGGCAUUUUGGGACCCAGAAGAAGCAUUUCAUGUCAUGUACUAGUUUGAAGAUGCUACUCUUCCUGUCUCCUGUAAAGAUUAUUUACAUAAGUAUUUGUCUUUCAUUGUCAGAUAUUUAUUUUUUCCAUACAAAUUUUGUAAUUCUCCUCUCCCAGCCUGUGAGCAUAUAUCUGUAUUUAUAUAUUUUUAUGUGGGCAAAGGGGCUCAUUUACCUUGGCAGCAGGAAAGGGGAAAAGAAAACUCUCCUAUUUCCUGAGUCAACAGGGAUCCCACCCUUUGGGGCUUAAUGGCAGGUCAAUGGUCUGUCAUCUAAGGCAUCCAUUAGCUGAGGGAAUCAGGUGGACAGGAAACGAAAGACCCACUAGGAAUGAGCUUGGAUGUGUUGUGGGUUGGUUGGUAUUUAUUUUCUCUUUAAAGGAAGGGGAAUGGUGAGGGUAGCUAGAUUGUCCUAGUCUCGUUGGACAGGAAAUGACCUGAGUGUCUUCCAAGAAGGAAUUGAUGAUGUCUCCUGAAGCACAGGAAGCAGAGAGAUGGUUUGGUGCUUGGAACAGGGUGGCUGCCUUAUGAAUAAACAUUCACUGAAGACGACUUCAUGGGUGAGUAUGUUUCUUACUUUUUGUUUUGAGACAGAGUUUUGCCCUUGUUGCCCAGGCUGGAGUGCAACGGUGCGAUCUCCGCCAUGGGUGCUGAUCAGAAACCCACAAAUAUCUGCCAGGCUGGCAAUGGAUUAUAUUUGCCACAGUGGUCUGAAAGCAUACCAGACACUCAGGACCUUGGUGGCAGGCUUGAUUUUGUUAUGUUCUCAUUUUUUGAUGGGAAAAUAGAGGAACAGAAUGCUCCUGGGUCAUUAUGCCAGGUCACACCGCUCCAUGGAGGUCCCACUGCAAAGCUUUGUGAUUAAGCACUCACAUUCAGGAACCAGGCUGCCUGGAUUUCAUCCUGGGUCUGCCACUGAGUAGAUGGAAGAAAAAUCACUAUGUCAAUAUAGUAAGUCAUUCAACACAGCCUGUGGCACAUAAAAACACUCCAAAAGCCUGAGCUAUCUUGUUUUCUCCUGUUUUGUAAGAAAACCUUCUUAGAGUUGAACAAUUGUUGUGUGUCCAAAACUUUAUAAGUAUCAUUUCCUCCUCUCAAGGAGCCUGAGAGGUAAGCAAUAUUAUCACGAUGUUACUGAAGAUACCAUGGAGGUGUAUCUCAAGCAUCUUGUACCAGCUAUUAUUGCCUGUGAGAAUCAAGCAGAAAUCAAAUGCAAGUUUGCUUGAUUCCAGAGCUUGGGUUUACAACAGCUAUGCUGCCCCUUUUCUUGAUGCUCCUUCAUCCUGGGGAGCUUGCCCAGGCCUUCCAAAGGGUGAGGGAUACAUGGGGACCAAAAGGAGCUGGGGAGCAGUGUGUCAGUUUCCUGAAGUCCACAGUAAUGCAAGAAGCAGCUGGUCCUUAGCUGAAACCUGCUGAUCUUUCAACUUCAUGGACAAAGCCAAUUUUCUUAGUUGAAAGUCAUAACCCUCAUUUUGAGGAAGGAAGCGGGGAGGAGACCCAUAAAGCCAUAAUUCUAACCACCUCUGGAGUUAAUAGGAGCCUAACUGGAUUACAAUUUUAAAUUUUUACAGAAUGACUCCAACACUUUUAGAUGCCAUGCAAGGGGGCUUAGUAAGCUUGGUACUUAUUAAGAUGUUUGUUGUCUUACCCAGUCAAAGCAGUACAACGAUGCCAACAUAGGACUCUUCUGAGCCACCUAAUUUCUUGUUCUUUAAAAAUACAAUCUCCCUAAUGUCAGAGUACUUCUAAGAAACCCUCACUAUUUUAGAUUUCCUUGGGGGCAAAAAGGCUGUAAUUGCACAAAUACUCCUGGAAUAACUAUAGAAAGAACAUAGAAUAUUUUAUAUAUUUUCUGCUAAUACAAGCCAAGAAAAUUAAAUUCUACUCCCUGUUUACACCCACUAAAACAAAGCACUUAAAGAGAAAAUGGCUAUUAUCCAUACAUUUUGUGAUUAAUUUAAUUCUAGCUUCUUAGUGUAGCCACCUUCAUUUGAUAUUCCAUUUAUAAAUAAUGCACAAUGCACCACUCCAACAAUGAUAUGAAAUUAGAGGUGAAAAACAUGUGACUCCUAAGGGGAAGAACAAAGGAGGUUGGAACUCAAUUUAUUUGUUGUUGUUGUUGUUGUUGUUGUUUUAAAAUAGUUAUUUGGGUAAAUUUGCAGCAGUCAAUAAAGCAUUCCUGGAGGGCUCCUUCA